rnacentral:snoRNA from 1 species
UGCAGAAGUGUUGAGUUCAGUACUGGGCUUUCUCCCCCGGUUCUGGUAAUUAAUCUUUGGUACAGAAACUGGCUGAGUGAGAAUAGAAAUAUGAAGUGGUUAUGCUUUGACCACCUUCAUCAAACUUCAGCCUACAUUA